GAGAUGGAAGAACUCCUAUUGAAUUAAUAUUGUAGGCACCCACCGAGAUAAGAAUUGGCAUUAACACCCCAGAAUCUAAGUUAAAAGGAAAAGUGUUAAUUUAAAAAUAGAAUGAUAUAUAUAGUACUGGAGAAAUGGUAGCCCCUGCUACGAAUAAAACCUACUGGGUGACCAAAGGAAAAGGCCUAUUACAUCAAACUAAAGAAAAUAAUAUGCUGCCUCUGUAAAAUUUUCAGGCAUGAACAACACCGUCUUCUAUUAUAUCAACACUGGAUGCAAUGUUGCUAAAAACUCUGAUAUUUACUCUGUAUAUGAUGGCAGGACACAUUUUUGUAUGACAUCGUUACUAGAUGCCUAAUACUUAGCGUAGCAUGGUGCAGGGCGGUUAUGUUUGGGGCAACAUUGGCAGUAAUGGCCAUAACAACUAUAGAUUUACUUGAGUGGCAAAAAAAAAAUGACAAGGAAGAAUUAGAAAUUUAUAGGACACUAUAUUUUGCAGGCGUGAAUCUGCUCUGCAUCUUGAACCCCAUAAAUAUUGCUAGGUGGGUCAGUGUGGCAUGUUGCCUCCUGCCCAUAUUAUUUUGCUUAUUGCUCACUAUUGGGUACCAUACUCAUUGCAGCCAUGGCUACUCCUCCGACAGCGCCAAUAGCAGUUGUGCCACCAUUUCAAAAUGGAACACCACCUUCUGGUCCAGAUACAACGCCCCUGUCUGUGACAUCCUCUAUUUCCUGCACGGAUCACAAUCCUGGGCACUUUGUUGCAACUGAGGGCUCACCAGCAUCACCAAGCCCAAUCUUUUCACCCUACCCCUCGCCAUCAGCACCACCUCCUCACUGGGAAACCUUUGAUCAAUGGGGAAACCAAGUCCUGAGGGAAGCUGACAAAGCAGUGGAAACCUCUACUUCAAUCCCCACAAGAAUCAACGAGGAUCCUGACCAAUACCUUCCGUUAGACCCUGACUCAAAGGAUGAAGAUUGGCCUGAAUUGCUAACUGACUCUUGGUGUUAUAACCCAGCAUAUAUACCAAGACAAGCAGGAAUUGAAGAGAACAAAAACACACUUUUCCCAGAGUUACGACAGCUUUAAAUCCUGAUGGAAUGGCAAUCGAGACUGUGCUUAAUGACGCUGUGCAAGCUUGUACCUCCUGGAGUUUUCUAAAAAUGGCUGUUACGUGGAAAUGCAACUGUCAAGGAAGCUUAACUGAGUGGCUUAAGAAACCUAAUCUUUGGCCUUUUGGUAAUUGGAUAUGCCACCAUAUUAAAGAAUUCUUUGUUAUGCUUAUAUUGAUAAUAUUAGAUUGCUUAAACUGGUCAUUAAACUAUGGUCUAAAAGGAUGUGUGUCAAAGGACAAUUACCCACAUAACAUAAUUGAGUGUUUGCGAAUAAGAUUAUAAAUGACAUAGAAUCACAGGGUGGGGUGACAUUUUCGUGAACUUAGAUUUGUACGGGCAUUAGGCCCUUAGGAUUAAUUAGAGUGUGAGAGAUUUGAAACCACAGGGCGGAUUGCUGUGUAUUGGUUUGAUACGGUUUCAAAUCCACUUGUUUAUGACUUAAGUGAAGUUGUUUUAAUCCACUUGUUUAGGGCAAGAUUUCUAAAAGGUUGUUUUUAGAAGGGAAGUUGUGUAAGGAGGAAGUCAUGUCAGGAUGUCACCGUCUCACCUGUUGUCGUUGAUAAGCACUCAGUCGCCCAGCUGCUGAGGGGCCCCACUGGGGGCUUAUUGAUAAGAACGUGUGGAGAAGCAAUGAUGACAAGGGGACAUCUAGACUAUAAAUACCAGGAGUUUGGGAGGAAUAUCCGAGGGUGUUCGGAUUGGGCAAGGCGACCCUUUGCUGAUCUAGAUAGUUCCUGAGGACCUUUGGGGCAUCAGCUCCAGGCGUGGUAAAGGCGACUCUGAAGGGCAGUGGUGGAAGCCUUGCAGUAGCCCCCGAAGAAGAUCAUCUUGUCCGUCAACACCGUCGCCAUGGUCGCUCCCUAGCAACGUGCUCUAGCAACGGGACUUUUACUUCUGCGCUGGCCGCUGGACAGCAGCUUGCGGUUGGCCAGGCCCUUUCUCUCGACACCAACUCAUAUAAAGGUACACCUCGACCUAAAUUUGGACUUUGUUCCUUUCAUCUCCCCUUGCCUGGAACAAUAGCAUGAUGAAUCUAUCAUUGAUUUGGAGCAUGUUAUUUCCUUGUUGGCUUGUUAAGAGACACUAUUAUCCUGUAUACUUUUGGCUUGUGAAUUUCCACAGUGAACCAGUGUUAAAUAAACUGCUGGCAAAGAAUAAACUCA
rnacentral:lncRNA from 1 species